UACAGAGGUCUCAAGCGUUGUCCGGAAUUAUUGGGCGUAAAGCGCGCGUAGGCGGCCACUUAAGUCGGAUGUGAAAGCCCCUGGCUCAACUGGGGAAGUGCACCCGAAACUGAAUGGCUUGAAUACAAAAGAGGGUCGCGGAAUUCCCGGUGUAGAGGUGAAAUUCGUAGAUAUCGGGAGGAACACCGGUGGCGAAGGCGGCGACCUGGGCCAAUACUGACGCUGAGGUGCGAAAGCGUGGGGAGCAAACAGG
rnacentral:rRNA from 1 species